rnacentral:rRNA from 1 species
GACAGAGGGUGCAAACGUUGUCCGGAUUGACUGGGCGUAAAGCGCACGCAGGCGGUCGCGCGCGUGGGGUGUGAAAUCUGGCCGCUUAACGGCCAGGCGCCAUCCCAUACGGCGCGACUGGAGUGAUGCAGAGGUCGAUGGAAUUGCCGGUGUAGUGGUGAAAUGCGUAGAGAUCGGCAGGAACACCCAGGGGGGAAACCAGUCGACUGGGCAUCUACUGACGCUGAGGUGCGAGAGCGUGGGGAGCGAACCGG